rnacentral:rRNA from 1 species
AGUUUGAUCCUGGCUCAGAACGAACGCUGGCGGCAGGCUUAACACAUGCAAGUCGAGCGCCCCGCAAGGGGAGUGGCAGACGGGUGAGUAACGCGUGGGAAUCUACCGUGCCCUGCGGAAUAGCUCCGGGAAACUGGAAUUAAUACCGCAUACGCCCUACGGGGGAAAGAUUUAUCGGGGUAUGAUGAGCCCGCGUUGGAUUAGCUAGUUGGUGGGGUAAAGGCCUACCAAGGCGACGAUCCAUAGCUGGUCUGAGAGGAUGAUCAGCCACAUUGGGACUGAGACACGGCCCAAACUCCUACGGGAGGCAGCAGUGGGGAAUAUUGGACAAUGGGCGCAAGCCUGAUCCAGCCAUGCCGCGUGAGUGAUGAAGGCCUUAGGGUUGUAAAGCUCUUUCACCGGAGAAGAUAAUGACGGUAUCCGGAGAAGAAGCCCCGGCUAACUUCGUGCCAGCAGCCGCGGUAA